UAGGGAAUCUUCGGCAAUGGACGGAAGUCUGACCGAGCAACGCCGCGUGAGUGAAGAAGGUUUUCGGAUCGUAAAGCUCUGUUGUAAGAGAAGAAUGAGUGUGAGAGUGGAAAGUUCACACUGUGACGGUAUCUUACCAGAAAGGGANGGUUAACUACGUGCCAGCAGCCGCGGUAAUACGUAGGUCCCAAGCGUUGUCCGGAUUUAUUGGGCGUAAAGCGAGCGCAGGCGGUUAGAUAAGUCUGAAGUUAAGGGCUGUGGCUUAACCAUAGAACGCUUUGGAAACUGUUUAACUUGAGGGGAAAGAGGGGAAGAGGGGAAUUCCGUGGUGUACGGGUGAAAGUGCUAAAAUUUUGGGGGAGAAACCCCGGGGGCAAAGGCGGCUCUCUGGCUUGUAACUGACGCUGAGGCUCGAAAGCGUGGGGAGCAAACAGGAUUACAUACCCUGGUAGUCCACGCCGUAAACGAUGAGUGCUAGGUGUUAGACCCUUUCCGGGGUUUAGUGCCGUAGCUAACGCAUUAAGCACUCCGCCUGGGGAGUACGACCGCAAGGUUG
rnacentral:rRNA from 1 species